GCAUAUCAAUAAGCGGAGGAAAAGAAACCAACAGGGAUUGCCUCAGUAACGGCGAGUGAAGCGGCAAAAGCUCAAAUUUGAAAUCCUUCGGGAGUUGUAAUUUUGUAGGUUGGGAGACCCCGCGGCUAGUGGCACCAAGUCCCUUGGAACAGGGCGCCUUAGAGGGUGAGAGCCCCGUAGGUACCACAACACCGUCUUGUGUCUCCUCUCCAAAGAGUCGAGUUGUUUGGGAAUGCAGCUCAAAGUGGGUGGUAAAUUCCAUCUAAAGCUAAAUACCGGCGAGAGACCGAUAGCGAACAAGUACAGUGAUGGAAAGAUGAAAAGCACUUUGAAAAGAGAGUGAAACAGUACGUGAAAUUGUUGAAAGGGAAGGGCUUGCAAGCAGACACGGCCUUCGUGCCGGGCCAGCAUCGGUUGCUAGGGGUGGAUAAGGAACAAGGAAUGUAGCUCCUCGGAGUAUUAUAGCCUUGCGCGAUACACCCACUGGCGACCGAGGCCUGCGGUAUUCCUACCUAGGAUGCUGGCGUAAUGGUUGCAAGCCGCCCGUCUUGAAACACGGACCAAGGAGUCUAACGUCUAUGCGAGUGUUUGGGUGGAUAAAACCCCAGCGCGGAAUGAAAGUAAGAGGUUGGAGCCCGCAUGGGCGCACAAUCGACCGACCCAGAAGUUUACGGACGGGUUUGAGUAGGAGCAUAGCUGUUGGGACCCGAAAGAUGGUGAACUAUACCUGGAUAGGGUGAAGCCAGAGGAAACUCUGGUGGAGGCUCGUAGCGGUUUCUGACGUGCAAAUCGAUUCGUCGAAAUCUGGGUAUAGGGGCGAAAGACUAAUCGAACCAUCUAGUAGCUGGUUCCUGCCGAAG
rnacentral:rRNA from 1 species